rnacentral:lncRNA from 1 species
AGGAGUCGAAAAGCUUGACUUCCUCUGUACAUCUGCACUUGACCUUCUUUUUCUUCAACAAUCGUUCUUGGUUGUGUCUCGGGAGGCUCUGCAAAACGAUUAUGAUCAGGUGAGUAGGAUCAUUUCAUUUUCUUUUUUUGUAGUUCUGUGAAUUGUUUCUGUGCUUGGUUCUGCAAAAUUGUUUUUGUUGAUAGAAUUUAGAUUGGUGAGUAGGAUCAUUUCAUUUUCUUUUUUUUGUAGUUCUGUGAAUUGUUUCUGUGCUUGGUUCUGCAAAAUUGUUUUUGUUGAUAGAAUUUAGAUUGGUUUAGAUUAGGGAAUACCUGUGAAGACUCUCUCUCACGCCCAUGUUUAGCGUGAAAUGGAUCCAAUACAAAGUGUGAUGAGAUCAGAAGCGAAUUUCCCGAUACAAUCUAUGACCCAUGAAACCAUUCCAAUGAGGAGGCAUGUGCCCCAUUGUGCACAAUUCAGCCUCGCACUGCCCCCAACCCAAUGCUCUAUCUCAAUGAAGGCUGCCUGCAACCCCAUAAUAACUACCACAGCCACCCAAAACCAGAGGUUCUUCUUGAUGCCCUGGAACAUGUUCUUCUUCUCCAGCUUUCUGCAAUUGAAUAGAUUGAACACCUGGCAGAUAACAAAACUGUUGAACACCAAGGAUUUAUUGACCUUGGGUCUGAUGCCUAGGAUGGCCUUCCCCUUGAAUUGGAUUGUCACUAAAAUGGCAACCUGGUAUGAGGCUUGAGUGAUUAUGUUUCUCCACAUGGCCCAGGUUAUCAGCUUUCCACCUUGUCCUACUGGUUGCUUGCCUAUUAGUUUCUCCGCUGGUGGCUCUGUCAACAGAGCCAAUCCCCCCGGGAUGCCCACAAUCACACUCCCGAAGGCGAGUUGAAUUGCAGUCACUGGGGCAUCCCCCAAAAGGCCCGUGCUGAUGGAGGUUAUCAGUAACGCUGCGAUGACCAUGGUGAGCUCAUGCUGGAUGUACUUCUGGACGUUUUCAUAUGCACACCUUCCGUGCCUCAUGAUGGUCUCCAGGACACUAAAAUUGCCAUCCAAGAUGACGAUAUCAGAAUUCCCUUUGGCCAUUUUGGUGCUCCAAGUCCCCAUUGUCACCCCUACAUCAGAAUGUUUUAUGGCCGGAGCCUCAUCUCUCCUGGCUCCAAUGACAGCUACCGUGUGGCCCUUUUGCUUCAAACACUCCACUAAAAGACUCUUGUCAGAGGGACGGGCGUUUCCCAUGAUGGAGAUUCGAUCUACCCUAUCCAUCCUCUCUUUAUCGGUGUAGUUCUGAAAUUCAUUACCAUCAAGAACCAGAGAAUUGGGGUCAAACAUACCACACUGAAUUGCUAUGUCUAGCAGCUCUGAAAUAUUGCCACUUGAGACCAUCUUGAUGUUAACCCCAGCAUUUCUACAAGCUUCCACAGCUUUUUUUGUCUCUGUCCAAUCUGUGUCCCUCAGACCCAAUAGUCCUAUCAAGAUAAAGCUGUUUUCUUCACUUGAUUCAUUAAUUUUCUUAUAGGCAAAUGCAAUGGUUUUGAGAUGUUUGGACUGCAUCUGCUCAAUAAAUUUUUCAAAAUCCAUCCUUUUCUCUCUUCCCAUGUCAUUUAUCCUCCCUUUACUGUCAUAGUAGAAUGAACACCGGGCCAGUAUAGUUGUUGCUGGUCCUUUCCAGUGCAAACAUGUAACUGUUUCAUUCUCUCUGUUCUUCCUCAUUAACACUAGACUUCUUUCCUCAUUGGAGUUCAGUUCUUUGGUUUCAACAAGGGUGCAACUCUGCUUUAAAAUUUCUUGUCUCAUGCCUAACUUCAAUGCAGCCCAUGAAAGGACCCCUUCCUCUUCUGAGCUGUAAGCAUUCUUUGGGUCCAGAACUGGUGUGUAGAUACCAUCACACAGAGCAUCAACUACAUCUGGGUCUAUGACAGAGUCGCCGUUGAUGUCUUCUUCACC